rnacentral:rRNA from 1 species
AUUGAACGCUGGCGGCAUGCUUUACACAUGCAAGUCGAACGGUAACAGGCCUUCGGGUGCUGACGAGUGGCGAACGGGUGAGUAAUGCAUCGGAACGUGCCCAGAGGUGGGGGAUAACGCAGCGAAAGCUGUGCUAAUACCGCAUGUGAUCUGAGGGUGAAAGCGGGGGACAGGGCGGCAAUGUUUGGCCUCGCGCCUUUGGAGCGGCCGAUGUCAGAUUAGGUGGUUGGUGGGGUAAAGGCCUACCAAGCCGACGAUCUGUAGCUGGUCUGAGAGGACGACCAGCCACACUGGGACUGAGACACGGCCCAGACUCCGACGGGAGGCAGCAGUGGGGAAUUUUGGACAAUGGGCGCAAGCCUGAUCCAGCAAUGCCGCGUGCGGGAAGAAGGCCUUCGGGUUGUAAACCGCUUUUGUACGGAACGAAAAGGCUCUGGCUAAUACCUGGGGCUGAUGACGGUACCGUAAGAAUAAGCACCGGCUAACUACGUG